rnacentral:lncRNA from 1 species
UACUAUACCUUAAUUUGUUAGGUAUAUCUAACAUCUUGUUUUAUUUCCUGGGCUUGUUUAGUUUACCUAUUUUAGACUAUAGAAUUUGAGAUUCAUUGGUUUCGAUAAUUGUUAUUUAUUUUAUAGAAAUCGGACUCUAAUUUUUCAUUCUACUCUAGAAUAAAAAUAAUUCAAUCUAUUUAUAGCUUAAUCUAGCUUUGAAUUUCAGAUUGCCCCAUUUCACAGUAAACUACUCAAAACUUUCUCUCACAAACACCUUUCCAUCCUCUCCCUUCAUCACUCUUCUGUCUCUUAAAUAAAACUCUGUUUCAAAGUCCUAGAUGUCGAUUCCGCAUUCCAUUAAUUCCAAUAAUGAAUCAAAUAUAUAUUUUUGAAUAAUUCGUCAUUCCAUUUUUCAUUCCAAUGCAAUCUAAUGUCAUUUUUCAAUUUUAUUCCAAUCAUGAACUGAACACGUCCUUAAUGUUUUUAUACAAAACUUUGAUAUCAUUUUAUAUAAACCACAAAUU